rnacentral:rRNA from 1 species
UACGUAGGCAGCGAGCGUUGUUCGGAAUUACUGGGCGUAAAGAGUGUGUGGGCGGUGCUCUAAGUUCGGUGUGAAAUCUCCUGGCUCAACUGGGAGGGUGCGCCGGAAACUGGAGUGCUUGAGCGUGGGAGAGGAAAGCGGAAUUCCUGGUGUAGCGGUGAAAUGCGUAGAUAUCAGGAGGAACACCUGUGGUGUAGACGGCUUUCUGGACCAUAGCUGACGCUGAGACACGAAAGCGUGGGUAGCAAACAGG